rnacentral:rRNA from 1 species
UAGUCCACGCCGUAAACGAUGAGUGUUAGAUGUCCGAGGUAAACUUGGGUGUCACAAGCCAACGCGAUAAACACUCCGCCUGGGGAGUACGUACGCAAGUAUGAAACUCAAAGGAAUUGACGGGGACCCGCACAAGCAGCGGAGCAUGUGGUUUAAUUCGACGCAACGCGAAGAACCUUACCAAGUCUUGACAUAACUUUGAAAGCCUUUUAGAGAUAGAGGCAAUUUGACUUCGGUCAACAAAGCUAC